CGGUAGAGAGGAGCUUGCUCCUCUUGAGAGCGGCGGACGGGUGAGUAAUGCCUAGGAAUCUGCCUGGUAGUGGGGGAUAACGUUCGGAAACGGACGCUAAUACCGCAUACGUCCUACGGGAGAAAGCAGGGGACCUUCGGGCCUUGCGCUAUCAGAUGAGCCUAGGUCGGAUUAGCUAGUUGGUGAGGUAAUGGCUCACCAAGGCGACGAUCCGUAACUGGUCUGAGAGGAUGAUCAGUCACACUGGAACUGAGACACGGUCCAGACUCCUACGGGAGGCAGCAGUGGGGAAUAUUGGACAAUGGGCGAAAGCCUGAUCCAGCCAUGCCGCGUGUGUGAAGAAGGUCUUCGGAUUGUAAAGCACUUUAAGUUGGGAGGAAGGGCAGUAAAUUAAUACUUUGCUGUUUGACCGUACCGACAG
rnacentral:rRNA from 1 species